rnacentral:rRNA from 1 species
UACGGAGGGUGCAAGCGUUAUCCGGAGUCACUGGGUUUAAAGGGUGCGUAGGAGGGCAGGUAAGUCAGUGGUGAAAUCUCCAAGCUUAACUUGGAAACUGCCGUUGAUACUAUCUGUCUUGAAUAUUGUGGAGGUGAGCGGAAUAUGUCAUGUAGCGGUGAAAUGCUUAGAUAUGACAUAGAACACCAAUUGCGAAGGCAGCUCGCUACACAUAUAUUGACUCUGAGGCACGAAAGCGUGGGGAUCAAACAGG